GGGCGUAAAGAGCUGUAGGCGGUUGUCGCGUCUUCUGUGAAAACUUGGGGCUCAACUCCAAGCUUGCAGGCGAUACGGGCAGACUAGAGUACUUCAGGGGAGACUGGAAUUCCUGGUGUAGCGGUGAAAUGCGCAGAUAUCAGGAGGAACACCGGUGGCGAAGGCGGGUCUCUGGGAAGUAACUGACGCUGAGAAGCGAAAGCAUGGGUAGCAAACAGGAUUAGAUACCCUGGUAGUCCAUGCCGUAAACGGUGGGUACUAGGUGUGGGGCUCCUUCCACGGACUCCGUGCCGUAGCUAACGCAUUAAGUACCCCGCCUGGGGAGUACGGCCGCAAGGCUAAAACUCAAAGAAAUUGACGGGGGCCCGCACAAGCGGCGGAGCAUGUGGAUUAAUUCGAUGCAACGCGAAGAACCUUACCUGGGUUUGACAUACACCAGAAACACGUAGAGAUACGUGCCCCCUUGUGGUUGGUGUACAGGUGGUGCAUGGCUGUCGUCAGCUCGUGUCGUGAGAUGUUGGGUUAAGUCCCGCAACGAGCGCAACCCUUAUCUUAUGUUGCCAGCGCGUAAUGGCGGGGACUCGUGAGAGACUGCCGGGGUCAACUCGGAGGAAGGUGGGGACGACGUCAAGUCAUCAUGCCCCUUAUGUCCAGGGCUUCACACAUGCUACAAUGGCCGGUACAGAGGGCUGCGAGACCGUGAGGUGGAGCGAAUCCCUUAAAGCCGGUCUCAGUUCGGAUCGGGGUCUGCAACUCGACCCCGUGAAGUUGGAGUCGCUAGUAAUCGCAGAUCAGCAACGCUGCGGUGAAUACKUUCCCGGGCCUUGUACACACCGCCCGUCACGUCAUGAAAGUCGGUAACACCCGAAGCCGGUGGCCUAACCCCUUGUGGGAGGGAGCCGUCGAAGGUGGGAUUGGCGAUUGGGACGAAGUCGU
rnacentral:rRNA from 1 species